GUUCCUGUGGCGCAACGGAUAGUGUGUUGGACUUCUAAUACAAAGCUCAUGAGUUCAAAUCCCACCUGGAAUG